GAGCUGGCACACAUCCUUUGCCCCUUUUCUUUUGCUUCUUUCUCCAUCCUACAGCCUAGAACACAGAUGUGAUGGCUCCAUCGUGGACCAUGAAGGGACUCAAGAAGUCAGCCAAGCCCACGGUCUUUGAACUCUUCACUCUUGCCAUAACGAUUUAUUACCAUAGCCACUUGGCCUUCUAACAUUUUGGAUUCCAUAGAUACAAUUUUUUCCCCAGGUAACCACAAGUGAUAAUUUAAAUACCUUUUCUGCUACUGCAUACCACAGACUGAUAGGUUUUGCAAAGUGCAUCUGAUCAGUAGAAUUCCAUCCAGAACCGUAGCUUCAAGCCAUUCUGGAAAUGUGGCUUUAUUUCCAGUUCUGCAGAACAGUCAAGCACACUGGGAAUGGAUGUGGAGUGAGUCAAUCCAGAGUGUCCAGCCAACACUCCUCAAUCCAGUACCAGGGGACAGCUCAUCCUUCUGCAACUUGCCAAGAUGUUCAUGCCUCCUUUACAACAUUUCUGCAUUUCCUUCUGCCUUGAAUCUUGUCGCUCUCCCUCGCUCAUUUCCCUGCUGUGAGUCUGUGCUUCUCUCUCAAGAUCCAAAGCAAAUGCCACCCCUGGCAGAGCAAAUCCAUCUGCCUGCUGCGGGAUCCAAUAGCUCUAGGAACAUUCCUCAGUAACUGUCCUUAGGGGAACCGUGCCUAUUGGUUUACAGAUCUCCCUUCUCUGCUAAAAUGUGAGCUCCUCCAGGGCCGGAUUAUGAGCGACUGUCGUGGUAUCUGUGCCCUCCUCUGCAUCCUGUUGUAUUCUCAGUCUGGCACAGAGUAGGGGCUAAGGAAAUGAUUGUUGAACUAGUGAGUAUAGAUAACGGCUCCAGACAAAGCCCCCCCCCCUCUCGGCUGGGAGGGCCGAGAGUAGACUCGGGAGUAGAACUGCCUGUGUGUGGAUCUCGGCUCUCCAUGCACCGCGGGGGCAUCUCGGGCAUGUUACGUGACCUCUCUGUGCCUUAGUUCUCAUCUUUGUUAAAUGAGUCCAAUAACAUCUACAGGGGUAUUGUGGAGAUUAAGCGACACAGUCCCUGUGAAGCAUUUAGUACAGUACCCAGCACGCAGACAGAACUCAAUAAACGUCAGCUAUUACCAG
rnacentral:lncRNA from 1 species